ensembl:misc_RNA
UAGAACAAAACCACAGGCUCUCAAUUUCCCCGGCCCCAAGCACAGGACCACACAGGGAUAUCUAUAGCCUGAGGAAUCCAUUGAGAAGCGGAUAUCUGAGACUUAGUUUGUGGUGAGUGGUUACUGUCUAGAAAAG